GACGUAGGGCGCGAGCGUUGUCCGGAUUUAUUGGGCGUAAAGAGCUCGUAGGCGGCUUGUUGCGUCGACUGUGAAAACCCGCGGCUUAACUGCGGGCUUGCAGUUGAUACGGGCAGGCUAGAGUUCGGUAGGGGGAGACUGGAAUUCCUGGUGUAGCGGUGAAAUGCGCAGAUAUCAGGAGGAACACCGGUGGCGAAGGCGGGGUCUCUGGGCCGAUACUGACGCUGAGGAGCGAAAGCGUGGGGAGCGAACAGG
rnacentral:rRNA from 1 species